rnacentral:rRNA from 1 species
UGGGGGAUAUUGCACAAUGGGGGAAACCCUGAUGCAGCGACGCCGCGUGAGUGAAGACGGCCUUCGGGUUGUAAAGCUCUGUUGAGGGGGACGAAUACUGACGGUACCCCUUAAGAAAGCCACGGCUAACUACGUGCCAGCAGCCGCGGUAAUACGUAGGUGGCGAGCGUUGUCCGGAAUUACUGGGUGUAAAGGGAGCGUAGGCGGGGGUUUAAGUUGGAUGUGAAAUACCGCAGCUCAACUGCGGGGCUGCAUCCAAAACUGGACUUCUUGAGUGAAGUAGAGGCAGGCGGAAUUCCUAGUGUAGCGGUGAAAUGCGUAGAUAUUAGGAGGAACACCAGUGGCGAAGGCGGCCUGCUGGGCUUUUACUGACGCUGAGGCUCGAAAGCGUGGGGAGCAAACA